UACGAAGGGGGCUAGCGUUGUUCGGAUUUACUGGGCGUAAAGCGCACGUAGGCGGAUCGAUCAGUCAGGGGGUGAAAUCCCAGAGCUCAACUCUGGAACUGCCUUUUGAUACUGUCGAUCUGGAGUAUGGAAGAGGUGAGUGGAAUUCCGAGUGUAGAGGUGAAAUUCGUAGAUAUUCGGAGGAACACCAGUGGCGAAGGCGGCUCACUGGUCCAUUACUGACGCUUGAGGUGCGAAAGCGUGGGGGAGCAAAACAGG
rnacentral:rRNA from 1 species